GUCAUUGGUGCAUGUGUACAACGCGACAGGUUUUUCCUGCAUGAACUGCUGAAAUUGGACACUGCAAACAUUCGAGUGUACACUCAACAAGGUGUGUGAUACAUUUCACAUUGCACCGAAAGCACCUGAGAACUCGCUCUGUGUCGCUGUCCACCACCGAGGAGGUGAUGUGAACACUUGGACUUCCACGGGAAACAUCACUUAAAGAGAAACAAGAUGAUGAUGCCUUGGAUUUAAGUGUGGUGAUAUGAAUAACGCAUUGGGUGACUUAUCUGGAAGCCUUGGAGCCAAAGCAGAGAUUUACCAGAGUGGCCGGAGUAAUGGGAGCGAGGCUCUCAUCUCCUUGCAAGAGCCUUUACUGACACCAAAAGUCAAGAGGACUUCACCCUGCCAAGGCAACAGGUUAAAAAAAGAGGCCAGUGAAGUUUCACCUGGUCCACCUUCUUUUCCUGAAGGUCUUGCUUCAAAACUCUCACACUCUGCCCCUGAGUCUUUAUUACCUUGGACCAAAACAAGUGCAACUCAGGUAAUUAAGAUUUAUAAUGAAGAUAACACCAGCAGAGCGGUAGAGAUCCCCAGUGACAUUGUUGCCCGGGACAUAUGUCAGCUGUUUGCCUUGAAGAGCCACUGCAUCGAUGAGCACAGCUUGACUCUUUACGAGCACCUCUCCCAUCUGGGAAUAGAGAGAACGAUUGAGGACCAUGAGUCAAUUAUGGAGGUGAUAUCCAGCUGGGGAAUGGAUGCAGACAACCGGCUAAAUUUUAGGAAGAAUUAUGCAAAAUAUGAGUUUUUCAGGAAACCCUUGGACUUCUUCCCUGACCAUAUGGUGUCCAUAUCCGGUGAGACCAAUGAGGUGGUAGAUCACUCUCAACUUGUACAGAUCUUUCUCAGCGCCAGCACUUGCCCAGAGAUUCACGGACAUCUCCACACCAAGGAGCCAGGCAAGAAGUCCUGGAAGAAGUUGUACUUUAUCUUGCGGAGGUCAGGGCUUUAUGUCUCCAGUAAGGGAACUUCUAAGGACCCAUGGCAUCUUCAGUUCAUCGCUGACUUCACUGACUCAAAUGUCUACACACUGUUGUCAGCCAAAAAAGCACACGGGGCUCCCACUGAAUUUGGCUUCUGUGUUAAGUCCACAAAGUGCACUUCAUCCCGGGAUAUGAAGCUCCUGUGUGCAGAUGACGAGCAGACUAGGACGUGCUGGGUCACAGCCGUGCGAUUGUUCAAGUAUGGGAUGCAACUGUACCAAAACUUCAUGCAGCCACACCAGAAACAAAAAGCCUCCCCAAUGCGGAGCAUCUCCGAGAACUCCCUGGUGGCCAUGGACUUCUCGGGCCAGAAGAGUCGGGUGAUCGAAAACCCCUCGGAGGUUCUCUCUGUGGCCGUGCAGGAAGGCCUGGCAUGGAGGAGGAAAGGUUGCCACCGUCUGAGUGCACAUGGAAGCCCUUCUGCAUCCCAGAGCUCACUAAAUAUAGCUCUCCAUUUAGCCCAGCCCUGGUUCCAUGGCAAGCUGUCACGGGAAGAAGCUCAGCGUCUGAUCACUCAGCAGGGUCCAGUUGAUGGGCUAUUUCUUCUGAGAGACAGUCAGAGCAACCCCAAGACAUUUGUACUGUCACUGUGCCACAUGCAAAAAGUCAAACACUUCCAAAUCUUACCUGUGGAUGACGCAGGGGAGUUGUCCUACAGCCUCGACGACGGCCACACACGCUUCUCAGACUUGAUUCAGCUGGUGGAGUUUUACCAGCUGAACCGGGGCGUGCUGCCCUGCAAACUCAAACAACACUGCACCGGGACCACCCUGUGACAACCGGGAGGGACCGCCACCAUGGAAGCCUCAAAGUCACCUCCUCUCAGAGGCCUCUUUUCUGGGCAGUCACCCGCAGUGAUCUUGUGCAUGGAAGCAAAAUUAUGCAAAGACCCGACAGGCUUGCAAGGUGCAAGGUAGGAUUUCUGUUCUUCCAGCGCCAUCGUGGCCCUCAAUAGGGCAAGGAAGCGGAUUUGGUUAAUGGACUGGGUGAUGAUUAUAACAAGCAAAAACCCAAAAUUCACAAUCUCAAGAAAUAUUAGGGGAAAAAACAAAACAAUUAAUGUAGAAAUCAGGUAGAAAUUGGCCUCAUGAAAAGUACCUAUAUGUGAUUAAUACACCAAUAUAGUAUGACUUUCACUUUGUGGACCACUGAAAUAAAUGAACUUUUCAACGAAAUUCUAAUUUAUUGAUAUGCACCGACCUGUUGUUCCACUAUAAACCCCUUCAAAACGCCACUUAAAUUCCAACAUUAGAUACGGUCAUAUAACAUCACAACAUUUCCAAUUCAUCAAAUUCUCAAAGCAAAUAUUCUCAAGUAUAUAGGAUGACAUGUAUGUAUAUUUUGAAUAGAUCUAAUAAAGACCAAGAAAAUACGUCCAAUAAAUCAGGUAUAACCUUAUUUUAUUUUAAAUUUGACAUGAUAAAUUCAGGCUUUAUCCAGUGGAUAUUUCUCAAAUAUAAUAAGCUUCCUAACUAGUGUAUCUUUACCUACACUUUGUUCACUUAUUUAUUAUCUAACCUCCUACGGUUAAAGUUAAAUUUAGUUGCUCCAUAUUGCACGUGAACGAUACACAUUAACCCAAUAUUGCCAAACGUGAUUUAAUAUAUUCGAUAUGAGGAAUAUGUAGGCAUUAUGUGGCCUACAUUGUGGAUGCAGUGUGGGAGGCAGCAGCACCUAGGGUGCAGGUUAACCCAUGACCACUAGAUGGUAGUAAAAGCAUUUUGUUGGCUGUGUUCCAGUUUGAUGUCGUCAAAUAAGUCAAAUAAUCAAUUUACGUUUAUGUUCACGUAAGUUCCAAUAAUUAUCAUUGAUUGAUACUGCUGACAAUAGACAGCAUCAUACUGAAUUUCUGGCUACAAAAUUAGGUCCAACUCCACACUAAUAAGUCAAAGUUAGCACAAAUGAUCAGAAUGAACACUUGUCAGAAGGCUAUGGCGCUUUGCUCCACUGGACACAACAACCAUAAUGAUGAACAUAUGACAACAUAAAAACAACUGAGAUUAUGAGAGAUUUUGUUCAUACAGUUACUGUAUUCGACCUUGUUUGGAGGUGCAACAAUUAAUUGAUUAUCAAAUUAAUUGACAACUCUUUUGAUGAUUGAUGAUCCCAUUGUUUUACUUAAAAUUGUCGAAAUCCAUCUAAAUUCUCCCAACAGUGAAUCUUCUCAGAUUUCUGUAAUCCUUCAUGAAAGCAGACUGAUUAUCUCUUGCGUUUAAUUAAAAAAAAAAAAAAUUUUCAAACAUAUGCUUUUACUUUGGAAAAUCAUAAUCAAACUUUUUGCCUAUUUUCCUACAUGUUACAGACCCAACCAGUCACUGUGUCCUCAACAAUUUAUGGGGGACAAAAAUAGUUUAAUAUAUUACAAAAACAAUCAUUCAUUGUAAUGUAAUGGACUCUAGAAAGUAUUCGGUAGUAACAGCCCUAACCUUGUUCGAUUAGAUCGUAAACAUGUAAUAUUCACUUGACCAACUCCAAAGUGCCUUGCGUGUAUUCCCUUUCUCUAAGGAUGUGUACAAUUAUUACAAGUGCAAGUAAUGACUCAUCCUUUCACUUACGUCUGAUUUUUCCACGGCCCCAUCCCGCUAUGAGUAAACCCUGCAAAUGAUUCCCCGCUCAAACAGCAAACGGCCAAAAUGUCUCGUCUGGAAGCACCCGUGUGAAACAAGCUUCUUUGUUGUGAUAUAAAUGCACUGCCCCGACGCCUCUCCGGCUUCACUUCAAUAGCAGCUUUUUUGAAAGGGAGCGCUCACAUCCAGGGGAGACGUGCACAAACACACAAGUCUUAAAUGUACCCCUGCUUCUUAGGUCUUGUGCUAAAUGUUGUUUUGGAUGUAUUCCUGCCAUUGAUCGGCGCCUGGCUGCAGGGGGAGAGAUGGCAGCUGGGAGAGAAUGCGCCUCCUUUAAUGAAUUCAUCCAACACUAACGGCCUGUGGACACUGCAUUUCUUCCAGCCUUUCUCUCUC